ACUCCUACGGGAGGCAGCAGUUUCGAAUCAUUGACAAUGGGCGCAAGCCUGAUCGUGCGACGCCGCGUGGGGGAUGAAGGUCUUCGGAUUGUAAACCCCUGUCACCGGGGACAAACCGGCGGAGGUUAACAGCCUUCGUCCUGAUUUAACCCGGAGAGGAAGCAGUGGCUAACUCUGUGCCAGCAGCCGCGGUAAUACAGAGACUGCGAGCGUUAUUCGGAUUCACUGGGCGUAAAGGGUGCGCAGGCGGCCAAGUGUGUCAGGUGUGAAAUCCCGGGGCUCAACCCCGGAACUGCGCCUGAAACUAUUUGGCUAGAGUGCCGGAGAGGGAAGCGGAAUUCUCGGUGUAGCGGUGAAAUGCGUGGAUAUCGAGAGGAACACCAGAGGCGAAGGCGGCUUCCUGGACGGUUACUGACGCUCAGGCACGAAAGCGUGGGGAGCGAAAGGGAUUAGAAACCCUGGUAGUCC
rnacentral:rRNA from 1 species